CCUACGGGAGGCAGCAGUGGGGAAUAUUGCACAAUGGGGGAAACCCUGAUGCAGCGACGCCGCGUGAGUGAAGAAGUAUCUCGGUACGUAAAGCUCUAUCAGCAGGGAAGAUAAUGACGGUACCUGACCAAGAAGCCCCGGCUAACUACGUGCCAGCAGCCGCGGUAAUACGUAGGGGGCAAGCGUGAUCCGGAUUUACUGGGUGUAAAGGGAGCGUAGGCGGCCUGCCAAGUCUGGUGUGAAAACCCGGGGCCCAACCCCGGGCCUGCAUUGGAAACUGGCGGGCUGGAGUGUCGGAGGGGCAGGCGGAAUUACUAGUGUAGCGGUGAAAUGCGUAGAUAUUAGGAGGAACACCGGUGGCGAAGGCGGCCUGCUGGACGAUGACUGACGCUGAGGCUCGAAAGCGUGGGGAGCAAACAGGAUUAGAUACCCGAGUAGUC
rnacentral:rRNA from 1 species